AAUGAACGUUGGCGGCAUGGAUUAGGCAUGCAAGUCGCGCGAUAAGAUUCCUUCGGGAAUCCGAAAGCGGCGAAAGGGAGAGUAACGCGUAGAUGAUCUACCCCGAGGACUGGGAUAGCGGCGGGAAACUGCCGGUAAUACCAGAUGAUGUCUCCGGACCAAAGGUGUGAUUCCGCCUUGGGAUGAAUCUGCGUCCUAUUAGCUAGUUGGUGAGGUAACGGCUCACCAAGGCGAAGAUGGGUACCGGGUGUGAGAGCAUGACCCGGCUCACUGGGACUGAGACACUGCCCAGACACCUACGGGUGGCUGCAGUCGAGAAUCUUCGGCAAUGGGCGAAAGCCUGACCGAGCAAUGCCGCGUGCGGGAUGAAGGCCUC
rnacentral:rRNA from 1 species